AUUGAACGCUAGCGGCAGGCUUAACACAUGCAAGUCGAACGAGUGGCGGACGGGUGAGUAAUGCUUGGGAAUCUAGCUUAUGGAGGGGGAUAACUACGGGAAACUGUAGCUAAUACCGCGUACCAUAGGAUGAGCCCAAAUGGGAUUAGGUAGUUGGUGAGGUAAAGGCUCACCAAGGCGACGAUCUCUAGCUGGUCUGAGAGGAUGACCAGCCACACUGGGACUGAGACACGGCCCAGACUCCUACGGGAGGCAGCAGUGGGGAAUAUUGCGCAAUGGGGGCAACCCUGACGCAGCCAUGCCGCGUGUAUGAAGAAGGCCUGCGGGUUGUAAAGUACUUUAAGUUGGGAGGCGUUACCAACAGAAUAAGCACCGGCUAACUUCGUGCCAGCAGCCGCGGUAAUAC
rnacentral:rRNA from 1 species